GUUGAUAAGGUUAAGUGAAUAAGGGCGCACGGUGGAUGCCUUGGCACUAGGAGCCGAUGAAGGACGGGACUAACACCGAUAUGCUUUGGGGAGCUGUAAGUAAGCUAUGAUCCAGAGAUUUCCGAAUGGGGGAACCCAAUAUCUUUUAUAGGAUAUUACUUUUCAGUGAAUACAUAGCUGAUUAGAGGUAGACGCAGAGAACUGAAACAUCUUAGUACCUGCAGGAAGAGAAAGAAAAUUCGAUUCCCUGAGUAGCGGCGAGCGAAACGGGAAGAGCCCAAACCAACAAGCUUGCUUGUUGGGGUUGUAGGACUCCGAUAUGGUAGUCUGUUAGUAUAGUUGAAGGAUUUGGAAAAUUCCGCUAAAGAGGGUGAAAGCCCCGUAGACGAAAUGCUAACAACACCUAGGAGGAUCCUGAGUACGGCGGAACACGAGAAAUUCCGUCGGAAUCCGCGGGGACCAUCCCGCAAGGCUAAAUACUCCCUAGUGACCGAUAGUGAACCAGUACCGUGAGGGAAAGGUGAAAAGCACCCCGGAAGGGGAGUGAAAUAGAUCCUGAAACCGUGUGCCUACAACAAGUCAAAGCUCGUUAAUGAGUGAUGGCGUGCCUUUUGUAGAAUGAACCGGCGAGUUACGAUUGCAUGCGAGGUUAAGUCGAAGAGACGGAGCCGCAGCGAAAGCGAGUCUGAAUAGGGCGAAUGAGUAUGUAGUCGUAGACCCGAAACCAUGUGAUCUACCCAUGUCCAGGUUGAAGGUGCGGUAAAACGCACUGGAGGACCGAACCCACGUACGUUGAAAAGUGCGGGGAUGAGGUGUGGGUAGCGGAGAAAUUCCAAACGAACUUGGAGAUAGCUGGUUCUCUCCGAAAUAGCUUUAGGGCUAGCCUCGGAAUUGAGAAUGAUGGAGGUAGAGCACUGUUUGGACUAGGGGCCCAUCUCGGGUUACCGAAUUCAGAUAAACUCCGAAUGCCAUUCAUUUAUAUCCGGGAGUCAGACUGCGAGUGAUAAGAUCCGUAGUCGAAAGGGAAACAGCCCAGACCACCAGCUAAGGUCCCAAAAUAUAUGUUAAGUGGAAAAGGAUGUGGGGUUGCACAGACAACUAGGAUGUUGGCUUAGAAGCAGCCACCAUUUAAAGAGUGCGUAAUAGCUCACUAGUCGAGUGACCCUGCGCCGAAAAUGUACCGGGGCUAAACAUAUUACCGAAGCUGUGGACUACACCAUUAGGUGUAGUGGUAGGAGAGCGUUCUAAGGGCGUUGAAGGUCGAUCGUGAGGACGGCUGGAGCGCUUAGAAGUGAGAAUGCCGGUAUGAGUAGCGAAAGACAGGUGAGAAUCCUGUCCACCGUAUGACUAAGGUUUCCUGGGGAAGGCUCGUCCGCCCAGGGUUAGUCGGGACCUAAGCCGAGGCCGAUAGGCGUAGGCGAUGGACAACAGGUUGAUAUUCCUGUACCAGUUGUUUUUGUUUGAGCAAUGGAGGGACGCAGUAGGCUAAGGAAUGCAUGCGAUUGGAAGUGCAUGUCCAAGCAAUGAGUCUUGAGUAGAGUUAAAUGCUUUACUCUUUAAGGACAAGUUGUGACGGGGAGCGAAAUAAUAGUAGCGAAGUUCCUGAUGUCACACUGCCAAGAAAAGCUUCUAGUGAGAAAACAACUGCCCGUACCGUAAACCGACACAGGUAGUCGAGGAGAGUAUCCUAAGGUGAGCGAGCGAACUCUCGUUAAGGAACUCGGCAAAAUGACCCCGUAACUUCGGGAGAAGGGGUGCUGACUUCGGUCAGCCGCAGUGAAUAGGCCCAAGCGACUGUUUAUCAAAAACACAGGUCUCUGCAAAAUCGUAAGAUGAAGUAUAGGGGCUGACGCCUGCCCGGUGCUGGAAGGUUAAGAGGAUGGGUUAGCUUCGGCGAAGCUCAGAAUUGAAGCCCCAGUAAACGGCGGCCGUAACUAUAACGGUCCUAAGGUAGCGAAAUUCCUUGUCGGGUAAGUUCCGACCCGCACGAAAGGCGUAACGAUUUGGGCACUGUCUCAACGAGAGACUCGGUGAAAUUUUAGUACCUGUGAAGAUGCAGGUUACCCGCGACAGGACGGAAAGACCCCAUGGAGCUUUACUGUAGUUUGAUAUUGAGUGUUUGUACCACAUGUACAGGAUAGGUAGGAGCCGAUGAGACCGGAACGCUAGUUUCGGAGGAGGCGCUGGUGGGAUACUACCCUUGUGUUAUGAACCCUCUAACCCGCACCACUAAUCGUGGUGGGAGACAGUGUCAGAUGGGCAGUUUGACUGGGGCGGUCGCCUCCUAAAAGGUAACGGAGGCGCCCAAAGGUUCCCUCAGAAUGGUUGGAAAUCAUUCGAAGAGUGUAAAGGCAGAAGGGAGCUUGACUGCGAGACCUACAA
rnacentral:rRNA from 1 species